UCAUGGUUUUUUUGCAGCUUAUGCAUUAGAGGGUUGGGAUGUAAAAGUGAGGUUAGAAUGCACCAUCCUCAUAAAAAAAAUACCAAUCAAUAUUUUUCGAUAUUUGAUUUAGAUAGGUAUUGUUUUCGAAUUUUAGUUAUGCAAUUAAUUGGCAAGUGAACAGAUUCAAAUGCCUCGGACUCGGUUAGUAGAAUACCGACCUGGGGAAGAGCUAACAGAGCAUACCAUUGACAGAUAAAUAAGACUCUAAUUUCUUCCUAAUUUUGAUUAUUUUACAAAAGCUAAUCUCUCAGACUAUUGAUACCAAAAUCAUAAAUUACGUAAAAUUUUCUUCGCAAAAAAGUUUUAAAAUCAAAUAGUCAAAUAUCCUUCUGCUAGAUAGCGUAACGAGAUGUUUCCCAAUCCUAACCCCUCCACCCCCCGGAAAAGCAUCGCCACAAGGAGUUUGAGUACUCGAGGUUAGCUGUCAAAAUGGAAUUAAAUUCUCAACGUGAUGACAGAAGUUAAAUAAUAAACUCAACCAUGACGUCUAAGCCUGACAUAACCUUGGACCAUUUUUACAUAUUCAAUGGUACCUACGCGAAGAAGGAAGGAGAGGAACACAAAAAAAUUCUGUAUUAUUACCCUGAGAAAACCGAUGUGGACACGAAGAUCAAGAACAUCGGUCUCAGCGAGGCCAUCAUCAAGUUCACAGAGUCUUUCAACCCAGGCCAGACAUGUGAUUACUGCCACACUCAUAAAACCAGACAGAUUUAUUAUCAGCCAGAGCCAGAUUUCUGGAUGGUGAUGAUCGUCGGUGUUCCUUACUUGGUGAAAACAAAAGAUGGCAACGACUACACAGAGUAUCAGCACGACGAGGUUUCGAGUCCAGUGUGCUUGGCGAUAAUGAAGCAGGCCUACACGAGAUUCCGACUGUUCAUGGGUUCGUUCGAGACUAUUCUGAAGGAUCCAGGCUGUGGUUCGGUGACCCUCCUCCAACACAAACUGGAUUACUUCUUUUCCGAGCACUUGUUGACGUUGAAACUCAAUCACCGAGACAUUCUGGACAUAUUCCAAGGCCUCCAGUUCCUCCCCCUGGACAAGGGGACCUUCCUGAGGGUUCAGUGUUUCAUGAAUCUGAUUGAAGCCACAUUCCCACACGUCAAAUACACAGCAUUCCUGUACAACGAUCAACUCGUCUGGAGCGGGUUGGAACCUGAGGACAUGCAGGUGGUCUAUAAUUACCUUGUUAGCACGUUAUUACCAGCUCACAUGGAGAAGGAGCUGCAUGGGGGGUCGAUGCCAAGGAAUUCAGUAUCUCCAUUCACGAGUUCUCAUUAUGGAAAAUUUGUCACUGGCGCCUCGAGCAUCAACGAGUCGAUUGGAAUAGCAAAGUCUCCAAUAGUCUUCAUAAACUACUCGACAACCCCUACGUCCUUGUACCUGGUGGUGUACAGUGCCUUGAGUGCAACAAUCUGUUUGUUCAUCGACAGCUCCACAGGUCUGCUGAUCGACUACCUGAAGAGUCUCGACGCCUUUCUGGGCCCCCAGCUCACGACGUUAGUCAGCUCAGUAGCUGAUCAGUGCUCGAAGCACGUCCCAGACAUGGGAGAGUCAACCCCCAAAUACUUAUACUUCAACAGACUGAAUUUAGCAUACAAGAGCACCAUUCACCUUGACAACAGACGUGUCUCCAACAUCCUCACGACACCAGAAGUCCUCAGGAUAAUCACUGAUAUUCACAGUGAUACUAACAAGCUCAAGGAGGCGGGGGAGGUCGUCAUCAAGACCAUGAGUGAUUAUUGGGUGGUGGGGAAACUUUCAAAUCUGCGAGAGUUCUUCGUUGUCAUUCAACAGAAGAAUGCCAACAUCAUUGAGAUUGAUGAUGAAGUGAAACGUCUUUGUGAGAAGCAGCUGAAGAGCAUCUUCUUCCACUGAAUUCCCAGAACAAACCUUUAUGUACAGCACGCCGAUGUAAAAAAUACAAGAUGAAACGUCUCUGCGAGAAGCAGCUGGAGGUGAUCUUCCCCUGAUUCCCCAGUAACCUCUCCCUCCUUCUCUCCCCUGUCCCUCUUGGGGAUGAUAUUGGAGAAUUUCUUUAGUUUGGCGACGAAGAAGCCGUCCAUAUUGUGCACAUGAGGAUAGAAUCUCCUGGUGAGCUUCAGUGAUGGAUGAAAC